rnacentral:misc_RNA from 1 species
UCUCCGUUGGUGAACCAGCGGAGGGAUCAUUACAGGAUCGAAAGACUCCUAUAACCCCUGUGAACUUACUACAAAUACGUUGCUUCGGCGGGUGCCCCGGGUCUCCCGGGGCGUUCAGCCCGCCGGCGGCCUUCAAAUUCUGUUUCUUUGCGUUGGCAUCUCGAGUAUACAAAAAUAAGUUAAAACUUUCAACAACGGAUCUCUUGGUUCUG